CGGCGGACAGGUGAGUAACACGUGGAUAACCUACCUAUAAGACUGGGAUAACUUCGGGAAACCGGAGCUAAUACCGGAUAAUAUUUUGAACCGCAUGGUUCAAAAGUAAAAGACGGUCUUGCUGUCACUUAUAGAUGGAUCCGCGCUGCAUUAGCUAGUUGGUAAGGUAACGGCUUACCAAGGCAACGAUGCAUAGCCGACCUGAGAGGGUGAUCGGCCACACUGGAACUGAGACACGGUCCAG
rnacentral:rRNA from 1 species